UCCCUGGUGGUCCAGUGGCUAAGACUCCGUGCUCCCUAUGCAGGGGGCCCGGGUUCAAUUCCUGGUUAGGGAA
rfam:Ovis aries breed Texel chromosome 3, whole genome shotgun sequence.